CAGUAGCCGCGGGAAUACGAAGGGUGCAAGCGUUAAUCGGAAUUACUGGGCGUAAAGCGUGCGUAGGCGGUGAGUUAAGUCUGCUGUGAAAUCCCCGGGCUCAACCUGGGAACUGCAUUCAAAACUGCCGGGCUUGAGUAUGGGAGAGGUGAGUGGAAUUCCAGGUGUAGCGGUGAAAUGCGUAGAUAUCUGGAGGAACAUCUGUGGCGAAAGCGGCUCACUGGACCAUAACUGACGCUGAUGCACGAAAGCUAGGGGAGCAAACAGGAUUAGAUACCCGCGUAGUCCCUGUCUCUUAUAC
rnacentral:rRNA from 1 species